UGGGUCCUGGCUGGAGAUCUCUGCUGCCCCCAGACUCAGAGGAGCCACUCCAGGACUCAGG
ensembl:miRNA